UCCAACUGCCUACUUAAUGCCCUGUCUUUCGUCUCUUGUUUGUCAGAUCGUUGUUUGAGGUCCUCAUGGUUCAUGUCUGUUCGUCCUUCAGCGUUCCUGCCUAUGCUCAGUUUCCUGUUUCGGUCGCAUCUGGAUUACCGCCAUCAUCCACGGAUCUAUCACCAUCACCACCUCCACCAACGCACUCAAGACACCCACUCACCUGUCUGUGCUGCCGUCGAGGUCCCUGCGUCACUCUCCAACAUUCCUCUCAGAGCCCUUCCGCGUCACAUCAUGGUUCACGCCCUCAAUGGACAGAAACUUCAAGUCAUAUCUCAUGUCACUGAAGACAUCACCCUCAUCACAUCAGGCAAUCACUCUGAAACCAUUUCCUUCCACAUCCUUGACUCUCCUCUGGCACCCAUAGUCCUCGGUCACCCCUGGCUCCUCCUCCACAACCCCAAAAUAGACUGGUCCUCAAACUCCAUUCUAACUUGGUGUAAAAGAUGUCAUGAGUCUUGUUUAGUGUCUGCCUGUCCUUCUGUUCUGUGUUACAGGAGGAGGCAGUGGAUUUGUCUAACGUGCCCGCCGAGUACCUCCACCUGAAGGAAGUGUUCAGUAAGUCUCGUGCUGCUUCUCUUCCUCCGCAUCGUCCCUACGACUGUGCCAUAGAAUUACUGUCAGGAACAUGUGCAGCACGUCCGACGGGUGCUUCAGAGGUUUCUAGAGAAUGGGCUUUUUGUCAAGGAGGAGAAAUGAUCAGGAUGUAAAUAUGAGCUGCUGACAGUGGAAGAUCCACAAGGCUUCUUACAAAGUGCUCUUUUAAAUGCUCUUUUGUGUCAAACGCUUCCUGCCGCCUGUAUUCAACAAUCUCAACACAGGCUACAUGUGAGAUUCAUGGGAAAUCAACAGAUGUCGAACUCUUCAGUACUGGGUCACAACAGGAAGCAAUAUUUCACAUUUUUCACAUAGUUUGGCUUCCUGCAUCAGUUAAUCUACACCCAGAGUUUACACUGGCUUAGAUUUUAACCAAACUAGAGAUGGGGUCUCUGUUUCAGAACAUAUGUAUAUACAAAUAUUUAAAUGCAUCAUGGGCAAACUUUGCUGCAUGUUUUUCUGUGCACAACACAAGCAGAACGGACGCACUGGUAUAGACUUCAAGUGUAAUGUUAAAAGGAAUAGUUCACCCCAAAAUGACAAGUUUGCUGAAAAACUACUCACCCUCAGGCCAUCGGAGAUGUAGAUGAGUUUGUUUGUUCAUAAGAACAGAUUUGGAGAAAUGUAGCACUUGUUCACCAGUGGAUGGGUGCCGUCAAAACAGCUGAUAAACACAUCACAAUAAUCCACAAGUAAUCCACAAAACUCCUGUCAAUCAGUUCAUGUCUUAUGAAACGAGAAGCUUCGUGUUUGUAAGAAAAGUCCAUCUCCUGUUGUCCUCUCACAUCGAAAUCCACCCACAUGUAUUUUUUUUACGCUGUUUUGGACUGUUUCUGCAUCUAAAUGGUUGUUUGAUCAGUGCAUAUUUCAGACAAGAUUACUUUUUUGUUUACUGGAGCAAGCAAUAUUGUGGAUAGAGGACUCAUAUUUCAGCCAGAAACAACAAACAGGCAGCUUCUCACAAAACUGAAUUGAUGGAAUGGAGUGUAAAUUAUUGUGAUGUUUUCAUCAGCUGUUUGGACUCUCCUUUCUGACGGCACCCAUUCACAGAAGAAGAUCAAUUGGUGGUGAGCAAGUGAUGUAAUGCUACAUUUCCCACGAAAAAACAAACUCAUCUACAUCUUGGAUGAGGGCAAGCACAUUUUUAUUAAAUUGUUAUUAAAUGAUUAAAACUAUUCUUUGAAUGCAUGCAUUCAUGUGCACAGAGAUGCCUGGCUCUUACCU